rnacentral:rRNA from 1 species
AGAAAGUAAGCAAGGGCAGACGGUGGAUGCCUUGGCUCUCGGAGGCGACGAAGGACGUGAUAAGCUGCGAAAAGCCCGGGGGAGGCGCAAAUAGCCCUUGAUCCCGGGAUAUCCGAAUGGGGCAACCCGGCAGGCUGAAGGCCUGUCAUCCCGUAAGGGAGGCGAACGUGGGGAACUGAAACAUCUAAGUACCCAUAGGAGGAGAAAAUAAACAAUGAUUCCGUAAGUAGUGGCGAGCGAACACGGAAGAGCCCAAACCCAUGUCGUCUAGGCGACACGGGGGGUUGUAGGACCACGACGUGGCAAGAGGAUGGCAAGUGGAACGCCUUGGAAAGGGCGACCGUAGAGGGUGAUAGUCCCGUACACGACUGCCUGCCGAAGCCUAGUGGCAUCCUGAGUAGCGCGGGGCACGAGAAAUCUUGCGUGAAACAGCGGGGCCCAUCCCGUAAGGCUAAAUACUCCCGAGAGACCGAUAGCGAACCAGUACCGUGAGGGAAAGGUGAAAAGAACCCCGAGCAGGGGAGUGAAAUAGACCCUGAACCCGUCUGCCUACAAGCGGUCGGAGCAUAGCAAUAUGUGACGGCGUGCCUUUUGCAUAAUGAACCUACGAGUUACCUUCCCCGGCAAGGUUAAGUACCUAAGGUACGGAGCCGAAGCGAAAGCGAGUCUGAAGAGGGCGGCCAGUCGGGGGGGGUAGACGCGAAACCGAGUGAUCUACCUUGGCCAGGUUGAAGGUUGGGUAACACCAACUGGAGGACCGGAUGGGUAAGCGUUGAAAAGCUUUCCAAUGAGCUGAGGGUAGGGGUGAAAGGCUAAUCAAACUCGGAGAUAGCUCGUACUCCCCGAAAUGCAUUUAGGUGCAGCCUCUUUAUAGUAUAUCGUGAGGUAGAGCGACUGAUUGGAUGCGAGGGCUUCACCGCCUAUCAAGUCCAGAUAAACUCCGAAUGCGCGAUAUAUAUUUACAGGGAGUGAGGGCGCGGGUGCUAAGGUCCGUGUCCGAGAGGAGAAGAAUCCAGACCACCGGCUAAGGCCCCCAAAUGAUCGUUGAGUUGAACUAACGAGGUCGGAUCGCAGAGACAGCUAGGAUGUUGGCUUGGAAGCAGCCAUUCAUUUAAAGAGUGCGUAACAGCUCACUAGUCGAGCGAUCUGGCGUGGAUAAUAAUCGGGCAUAAACGAUCUGCCGAAGCCGUGGAUGUCGUAAGACAUGGUAGGGGAGCAUUCCAUGCGGCGUCGAAGAUGAGGGAUGACCCUUGUUGGAGCGCAUGGAAAAGCAAAUGUAGGUAUGAGUAACGAUAAGGGGGGCGAGAAACCCCCCCGCCGAAAGACCAAGGUUUCCUGAUCAACGCUAAUCGGAUCAGGGUGAGUCGGGACCUAAGGCAAAGCCGAACGGCGCCGCCGAUGGAAGAAUGGGUUAAUAUUCCCAUACUGCCUCAUGGAGUGACGUGGAGACGGAGAAGUGACAGUCCUGCCGGCUGACGGAAUAGCCGGUUGAAGGGUGUAGAUAUUGAUUCCCGUAGGCAAAUCCGCGGGGAGAGUCGAACCUGACAGUAUACCGAGUACUUGUACGAGGUAAUAUGGACGUAACCAUGCUCCCAAGAAAAUCCGCUAAACUUAUCCAUGCGGCACCCGUACCGUAAACGGACACACGUGGUCGGGUUGAGAAUACUGAGGCGCUCGAGUGACUCACGGUUAAGGAACUAGGCAAAUUGACCCUGUAACUUCGGGAUAAAGGGUCCUCGUCGUAAGGCGAGGCGCAGAGAAUAGGUCCAGGCAACUGUUUAACAAAAACACAUGGCUAUGCUAAAUGGAAACAUGACGUAUAUAGCCUGACACCUGCCCGGUGCUGGAAGGUUAAGAGGAGAUGUCAUCGCAAGAGAAGCGUUGAAUUGAAGCCCCAGUAAACGGCGGCCGUAACUAUAACGGUCCUAAGGUAGCGAAAUUCCUUGUCGGGUAAGUUCCGACCUGCACGAAUGGUGUAAUGAUCUGGACACUGUCUCAACCGUGAGCUCGGUGAAAUUGUAGUAUCGGUGAAGAUGCCGAUUACCCGCGAUGGGACGAAAAGACCCCGUGAACCUUUACUAUAGCUUUACAUUGAAUUUGGGCAGACGAUGUGUAGGAUAGGCCGGAGGCUUUGAAGGGGGUACGCCAGUAUCCUUGGAGCCGCCGUUGAAAUACGGCCCUUCGGUUGUUUGAGUUCUAACUCCUAGGCAGGAGGACACUGUAUGGUGGGUAGUUUGACUGGGGUGGUCGCCUCCAAAAGCGUAACGGAGGCUUCUAAAGGUGCCCUCAGACCGAUUGGUAACCGGUCGUAGAGUGUAAUGGCAUAAGGGCGCUUGACUGGGAGAGAUACAACUCGAUCAGGUAGGAAACUAGAGCAUAGUGAUCCGGUGGUUCCGCAUGGAAGGGCCAUCGCUCAAAGGAUAAAAGGUACUCCGGGGAUAACAGGCUGAUCAUUCCCAAGAGCUCAUAUCGACGGAAUGGUUUGGCACCUCGAUGUCGGCUCGUCACAUCCUGGGGCUGGAGAAGGUCCCAAGGGUUGGGCUGUUCGCCCAUUAAAGUGGCACGCGAGCUGGGUUCAGAACGUCGUGAGACAGUUCGGUCUCUAUCUAUCGUGGGCGCAGGAGAUUUGAGGGGCUCUGACACUAGUACGAGAGGACCGUGUUGGACGUACCACUGGUUUACCGGUUGUCCCGCCAGGGGCACCGCCGGGUAUCUAAGUACGGAUCGGAUAAGUGCUGAAAGCAUCUAAGUACGAAGCCGGCCUCAAGAUUAGAUCUCCCUGAAGGGUGGUUAUAGACGAUGACCUUGAUAGGCCACAGGUGUAAGGGCGGCGACGUCCGAGCCGAGUGGUACUAAUAGCCCGGGACUUUCCUCA